UGCAAGUCGAGCGAACCAAUAAGAAGCUUGCUUUUUGUUGGUUAGCGGCGGACGGGUGAGUAACACGUGGGUAACCUGCCUGUAAGAUCGGGAUAACUCCGGGAAACCGGUGCUAAUACCGGAUAGAUUAUCUUUCCACCUGGAGAGAUAAGGAAAGAUGGCUUUUGCCAUCACUUACAGAUGGGCCCGCGGCCCAUUAGCUAGUUGGUGAGGUACUGGCUCACCAAGGCGACGAUCCGUAGCCGACCUGAGACGCUGAUCCGCCCUUUUCGUUCUGAGACACGGUCUCUACUU
rnacentral:rRNA from 1 species